GGGUCAGUAGGUUGGUCGUGCCACCGGUACGUACUGGUCUCACUGAUUCCUCCUUCCUGAAGAACUGUAAUGCCAUUAAUUUGGUGUUGCGGGGAAACAGGACUGUUACUUUGAAAAAAUUAGAGUGUUUAGAGCAAGCUAACGCUUGAAUACAUUAGCAUGGAAUAAUGAAAUAGGACGAUCGAUCCUAUUUUGUUGGUUUCUAGGAUUGACGUA
rnacentral:rRNA from 1 species